UACGAAGGGGGCUAGCGUUGUUCGGAAUUACUGGGCGUAAAGCGCGCGCAGGCGGUCCUUCAAGUCAGAGGUGAAAGCCCAGAGCUCAACUCUGGAACGGCGUUUGAGACUAGAGGACUUGGGUACGGGAGAGGUGAGUGGAAUUCCGAGUGUAGAGGUGAAAUUCGUAGAUAUUCGGAAGAACACCAGUGGCGAAGGCGGCUCACUGGCCCGUUACUGACGCUCAGGCGCGACAGCGUGGGGAGCAAACAGG
rnacentral:rRNA from 1 species